GCAGAGCGAUUAGAUUUCUGAUGGACUUGGAGCUGCUCAGCCAGCUGUGGACCCCAACCCCUCUCACAACACUUUCAUUUGCUCCAGGACAAUUUGUUGAAAAGUGUAUCAUCCCUUCAUUGAAUUGUUUUUACACCGUUGUUGAAAAUCAUUUGGACAUUUUGUGUGGGUCCUCUCUGCUGGUUUACAGACCUAAGUGUCUAUCUCUCCAUUAAUACCGCACUGAUAAAUAGUAGACGUCAGGCACGUGAGCAUGCUCAGUUGCUGUCGUGUCUGACUCUUCGAGACCCCAUAGACUAUAGCCCACGAGGCUCCUCUGCCCACGGGAUUCUCCAGACGGAUUCUUCACCCAGUGAGUCACCUGGAAAACCCCUUGAUGUCAUCACAAUAAGAACCAAUUCUAAUGUUAUUGUAUAAUAAAAUCAUGUGCUUAGGCAAUUGAGAGAGAUGGG
ensembl:lncRNA